rnacentral:lncRNA from 1 species
GUGAGUAAUGUGUAGGAAGUGUGAAGAGGCUGUAAGAAAAGAUAAACACUUGUAUUUUAUUACAUUAUUUGUUUAUUGAUGUUUUUUAUUCUUAGCAGUGGGUGUAGACCAAGGCCGGACUGUCUCCUGAACUCGCCGUUUAACAGAUCCGGAGAUUGUAGGGAUGAGAGAGUGGGCAGAAACGGUUAAGGUAGGGGUGGUUGGAGCAGGGCUGGUUAAGGUAGGGGAGGUUGGGGCAGGGCUGGUUAAGGUAGGGGAGGUUGGGGCAGGGCUGGUUAAGGUAGGGGAGGUUGGGGCAGGGCUGGUUAAGGUAGGGGAGGUUGGGGCAGGGCUGGUUAAGGUAGGGGAGGUUGGGGCAGGGCUGGUUAAGGUAGGGGAGGUUGGGGCAGGGCUGGUUAAGGUAGGGGAGGUUGGGGCAGUUUGUGAAGGCUGGGUGGAAUGGGUUGUGAUUACCGGUAAUGGGAAUGGGGAAAAUAAGAAAUCAAAGUGUGGUGCAGUAGGUGAUAUUAAUGUGAGGGGACUGGACAUGGAGGCUGAUGGUGUUCCCAGAGGAAGGGUGGGGGAGGCACUGGCAGUUCUUGAACUCACAGGCGUCUGGUGUUCUAGGGCGACUGACCCGGAGACAGAGAGCUGCCGAAGCACCUCCCGGGCCUCCCCUUCCCCCAGGCGAUCCUUCUCCAGCUGAAGGCGCUCCCUCUCCACCUGCAGGCGCUCUGUCUCCACCUUCAAGCGCUCUCUAUCCAGCUGGAGCCGGUUCUUCUCCACAUCCAGGUGUGCCUUCUGUGUUUCAUGUGCUUUUUGUAAUAAAUCAUAAAGAGCUUGGUGGAUGUGUUGGGCGGUCUGUGUAACAUGGAUUUGUUGUGUUUGUGUGUCCAGGAUUUGUUGGAACAG